AGCGAACGCUGGCGGCAGGCCUAACACAUGCAAGUCGAACGAACUCUUCGGAGUUAGUGGCGGACGGGUGAGUAACACGUGGGAACGUGCCUUUAGGUUCGGAAUAACUCAGGGAAACCUGUGCUAAUACCGAAUGUGCCCUUCGGGGGAAAGAUUUAUCGCCUUUAGAGCGGCCCGCGUCUGAUUAGCUAGUUGGUGAGGUAAAGGCUCACCAAGGCGACGGUCAGUAGCUGGUCUGAGAGGAUGACCAGCCACACUGGGACUGAGACACGGCCCAAACUCCUACGGGAGGCAGCAGUGGGGAAUCUUGCGCAAUGGGCGAAAGCCUGAGGCAGCCAUGCCGCGUGAAUGAUGAAGGUCUUAGGAUUGUAAAAUUCUUUCACCGGGGACGAUAAUGACGGUACCCGGAGAAGAAGCCCCGGCUAACUUCGUGCCAGCAGCCGCCGCCGUAA
rnacentral:rRNA from 1 species